UUGGGUGUCUGUCAAUGGUCUCUUGGAGUUUUACUCGUGUUCAUGUUAUUUCGUUUCUCUGCGUAACUGAAACGUGUACUUCAGCAACAAUGGGGUGUCCAUAUAAUGAGCAUAUUCGUUGGGUUCCGUUAGCGGACAUUUUGGAUGCAGUGAGGUGAAGAACAAGUCAACCGCAACCGGACGAAUUGAAGAAUACAGCCCAACUAUGAGAAUGGUAACUAUACCAUUGUAAAUGAUUGAUGGUAUCUGAUGGAGUCGAUAAAUGGACCGACGCUUUUUAACAUACAAAAAGCAAAUAUCUUUUGACCCUACAUCAACGUCUCUUGUUACCAGUUACGUGCUGUAAUAAGGAUUUCUGGUAUUGAG